rnacentral:rRNA from 1 species
GAUGAACGCUGGCGGCGUGCCUAAUACAUGCAAGUCGAGCGAACAGACGAGAAGCUUGCUCCUCUGACGUUAGCGGCGGACGGGUGAGUAACACGUGGAUAACCUACCUAUAAGACUGGGAUAACUUCGGGAAACCGUAGCUAAUACCGGAUAAUAUUUUGAACCGCAUGGUUCAAUAGUGAAAGACGGUUUUGCUGUCACUUAUAGAUGGAUCCGCGCCGCAUUAGCUAGUUGGUAAGGUAACGGCUUACCAAGGCGACGAUGCGUAGCCGACCUGAGAGGGUGAUCGGCCACACUGGAACUGAGACACGGUCCAGACUCCUACGGGAGGCAGCAGUAGGGAAUCUUCCGCAAUGGGCGAAAGCCUGACGGAGCAACGCCGCGUGAGUGAUGAAGGUCUUCGGAUCGUAAAACUCUGUUAUUAGGGAAGAACAAAUGUGUAAGUAACUAUGCACGUCUUGACGGUACCUAAUCAGAAAGCCACGGCUAACUACGUG